rnacentral:lncRNA from 1 species
UUUUUUUUUUAUUAUUAAGCCUGGAGUUUUUACAGCUUCUUCGUUGGUAUGAUGGUGCUUAAGGCUUUUACUACACAUCAGAAAGUUUGUUUCACAGGUGUGUGUGUGUGUUUGUGCGUGCAUCCGUGUGUGUGUGUGCACCUGACCAGUGAGUACACUCUAAAGAUGAGAUAAUCUCUCUUUCCUAGGUCUUCAAGAGGCAUUAUUUUAUGUUGCUUUUUGUAUAUUGAGGAUUUGUUGUUGUUAAUAUUUUAUCAAAGGACUUAGUGGGUUGAUGCCAUAUUUAAAAAAAAAAAAAAAAGGAAAAAUAGACCAUUAAGAUGCAAGGUUUCUUUUGGAAUUCUUUUUACUAUUGAUGAACAUUGUCUGCCUGAAGAGUGAUUUUUAUUUAUGUACAGGGACUUAGGUAAGUACAUCUUACUAAAUAAAGAAUUUCAGUGAUACUUUCCCACAUUCGGAAUUCUGACUCUUCAAUUAUUUUGUAUCUAUAUUUCAGUUUUUCAUAGAGUCACUAUCUCAAAUGUUGCAACUAUUUAGUAUAGUACAUUUUUAAUGCAGUCUCUCUUUAACACCUUUAUUGAGUGUGCUUGACACAUUUACCUAGUUUGAUAAGUUUUAACAUUUACGUUAACUAUAUCUACCAGCAUGGUUAUAGGAGUAUCCACUGUUAGGCCACAAACCCACCCCAUGCUUUGUCUCAUAGAAAGGAGCUCACCUCUCAUGCCAAAUCCCAAGAAAACCUUGAAUAAUAAUUAUACUUUUAUUUGGUGCCUUCGUGCUUAUGAUUCCUGGCAAAUAGAGUAGGUCACAUGGUAUGGAAUUAACACCCCCCCCAUACACACACAUACACAUAUACACACAGAGCCACAAAAUCGCAAUCGGAAACUUCCUUUGUUUCUUGUAAUCGGAAAGAAUUCUGUCUUCCUGUAAGACCUCAUCAUACCGUCUAUGGUUUGAGGCCAUAGUUCUCUUACUCUUCUGGAAACUGAACAAUCUGGUUCUUUGCUUCAGGCAACCCUGUCAUGCUCUUCCUAUUAUUGAACCUCUUGUUUGGACCUGAAGCUCGCUUUCCUAGUCCAUUGUCCCAUCAUAUGGCUGCUUACAGCUGCCUUCCCGGCUAUAACUUUAAUAAUGCUCCCAUCUAAAGGGAAAUCAUGUCAGCCUCUUUUCUACAAAACAGUAACUUUUUAUUAUUAUCAUUAUUACUAUUAUUAUUACUAUUAUUUAUGACACUCAUUAGUCCACAUUUAUCACUGCAGAUUUGCUCUCAGUGAACUAGAAUUUUAUGUGCAUCAAGUCAGUAUGCUCUUUAUUUCCAUGGGGGCAGGGAGGGUGUCUGGCUACAUUUAGUUAUCAAGAAUAAGUCAAGCCAGAUGUGACAGAAUACUCCCUUAAUCCCACCACUCACUAGAAAGAGGCAGGUGGGUUCUGUAAGUUCAAGGCUAGCCUGGUCUAGAACCAGAGUUACAUGGCGAGACUCUAUCAAAAAAACAAAAAGUUAGUAUUUUGAAGGUUACCCAUGCUUCUAUAUGCGAUCUAUAUUUUUGAUUUUAAAAAUAACUUCUACUUAAGUCCUAGGUGGGAGAUAAUUACCCAUUUAAAAACUUAGCUCAGGCUGAUGAGAUGACUUAGUGGGUGACAAUGGCUGCUGCCAGGUCUAGUGGCUUGAGCUCUGCUCCUGGGACCCACAUGGUAAAGGAGAGAACCUGCAUACAUGACUCAUUCUCUGGCUUCCACACAUGCACCAUAGUGUGUAUGUGUGCCACCUCCCACCUCCUCCCUCCCCCC